rnacentral:rRNA from 1 species
UCCUUCGGGAUUAGUGGCAGACGGGUGAGUAACGCGUGGGAAGCUACCUUGUGGUAGGGAACAACAGUUGGAAACGACUGCUAAUACCCUAUGAGCCCUAUGGGGGAAAGAUUUAUCGCCAUGAGAUGUGCCCGCGUUAGAUUAGCUAGUUGGUAAGGUAAUGGCUUACCAAGGCGACGAUCUAUAGCUGGUCUGAGAGGAUGAUCAGCCACACUGGGACUGAGACACGGCCCAGACUCCUACGGGAGGCAGCAGUGGGGAAUAUUGGACAAUGGGGGCAACCCUGAUCCAGCCAUGCCGCGUGAGUGAUGACGGCCUUAGGGUUGUAAAGCUCUUUCAGCAGUGAAGAUAAUGACAUUAACUGCAGAAGAAGCCCCGGCUAACUUCGUGCCAGCAGCCGCGGUAAUACGAAGGGGGCUAGCGUUGUUCGGAAUCACUGGGCGUAAAGCGUACGUAGGCGGACUGAUCAGUCAGGGGUGAAAUCCCGGGGCUCAACCCCGGAACUGCCUUUGAUACUGUCAGUCUUGAAAUCGAGAGAGGUGAGUGGAACUCCGAGUGUAGAGGUGAAAUUCGUAGAUAUUCGGAAGAACACCAGUGGCGAAGGCGGCUCACUGGCUCGAUACUGACGCUGAGGUACGAA